GACGAACGCNUGGCGGCGUGCCUAAUACAUGCAAGUCGAGCGGACAGAAGGGAGCUUGCUCCCGGAUGUUAGCGGCGGACGGGUGAGUAACACGUGGGUAACCUGCCUGUAAGACUGGGAUAACUCCGGGAAACCGGAGCUAAUACCGGAUAGUUCCUUGAACCGCAUGGUUCAAGGAUGAAAGACGGUUUCGGCUGUCACUUACAGAUGGACCCGCGGCGCAUUAGCUAGUUGGUGGGGUAAUGGCUCACCAAGGCGACGAUGCGUANCCGACCUGAGAGGGUGAUCGGCCACACUGGGACUGAGACACGGCCCAGACUCCUACGGGANUCANUUNUUNGGUAUCUUCCGNAANGGCNGANUGUNUGUU
rnacentral:rRNA from 1 species